GACGAACGCUGGCGGCGCGCUUAACACAUGCAAGUCGAACGAAGUGGCGAACGGGUGAGUAAUUCGUGAGUAACUUGCCCUCUUUUUUGGGUUAAGCCUCGGAAACGGGGUUUAAUACCGAAUAAAGGGGGAUGGUCCCGCGGCCUAUCAGCUUGUUGGUGGGGUGAUGGCCUACUAAGGGGGUGACGGGUAGCCGGUCUGAGUGGGUGGCCGGCCACAGUGGGGGUGGGAUACGGGCCAGAGUCGUACGGGAGUAAGGAGUGGGGGAUAUUGCACAAAGAGCGGAAGCGUGAUGCAGCGACGCCGCGUGGGGGAUGACGGCUUUCGGGUUGUAAACCUCUUUGGCGAUCGAAGGGGUAGGUGGAGAAGGAGCGCCGGCUAACUACAUGCCAGCAGCCGCGGUAAUAC
rnacentral:rRNA from 1 species